UCCAAGAACAUUGUUAAUUUUUGGGGGGGGCCUCAUAGAUACAAUAUCAUGAACAUUUUAGUAACAGUUUUUAUACUGGUGAACAGCUUCCUUGCUGUGGAGCUCCAGAAAAUUCUGACCCAGCCCACCUCAGAAAUUAAACUUCCUGGAGAAACUUUAACUUUAACCUGUAAAGGUAUCUCCUCUUUUCUUCAAUACUGGAUACAGUGGACAUACAAGAUCGGCGACGAAGGAAUUAAAUGGAUAGGAGAAAGCAACCUGGAUGGCAGUAGAUCAAGCGUACGUCAGUCUUUGAGAGAUCGAUUUGCCAUCUCUAGGGAUAAUUCCCGGGAUAUUGGUUCUUUAGAGAUAAGGCAGCUGACAGUUGGAGACAGCGGUCUCUAUUACUGUAGUGCCCACAGUGAAAUUGAACAGCACACAAACUGUUGUGUUUCCAAAUGUCACUCUGAUCUAUUUUGCCUAGCCUAGAUUGUU